rnacentral:rRNA from 1 species
UGCGUAGGCGGAAUAAUAAGUUAGUGGUGAAAGCCCCCGGCUCAACCGGGGAACUGCCAUUAAAACUGUCAUUCUUGAGUAUAGUUGAAGUGGGCGGAAUGUAUCAUGUAGCGGUGAAAUGCUUAGAUAUGAUACAGAACACCGAUAGCGUAGGCAGCUUGCUAAACUAUAACUGACGCUCAGGCACGAAAGCGUGGGGAGCAAACAGGAUUAGAUACCCUGGUAGUCC